ensembl:lncRNA
AUGCUAGCUGGUCCUCACACAGAAUUUGGUAGCAAACCUCCUGAGUCUAGCCCUACCACCAUGGAAACCACUGAUAACAAAUACCCUGGCAUUUCUCAUCUAGGCUUUCACAGCCCUUCAGAGGCUGCUGAGGUCAGCUCAGGUCUGUUUUCAAAUAGCUCAUCCCAGAGGGGGGAUGCCCUAAGCCCUGCCAGCUCCAUGGAUUUUUGUACUUCCCCUGCUUCUUCUAAGGAGUCUAUUUUCUUCGAGGGCUGGGACAAAGAGAGGAGCUGGUCAGCACUUAACAUGUUCUCACGGGAUGGUUCUCCUGGCCCCCUUAGUGGCUCAGUUUCCCCAUGUUCUUCCAUAAGAUCAGGGGUUUUCACACCCUCUGUGGUGAGAAUCAAGCAUUACUCCUUGGCUCCAGGCUCCAGUCUGCUGCAGAUGUCGUCCGCUUGCGGAACACCCUGCUGUGACAGUCGAGCAAGCUCACCCUGUUCUCUUACACCCCGUGCCCGGCACAAACCCCCUCCAACACAGCUCUCCCUGUUAACGGCCAUUCUCAGGAAAGGUCGCCUUCCUGUCCUGUCCUCUGCUUUACAAAGACCUUACACACCCUGCUGGCCCUUCAGUCCAGUUAACAUGUCCUCUUGUUCAGCAUGCUCAGCUGCCUCUUCUGUUGCACCCAUGAAUGUGUCCAAAGCAAAGUCUUGUUCCUCCAUAGAUAGACCCCGUACUGAGUCUUGCCAGGUCUCAAAGACACAACUACGGAAACCAGACCACAGUUCUCUUUCAGUAUCAUCAGUGGUCAAGACACCAAAUGAAAUCCCACUAAUGAAACCACAAGAAAGACUUGAAUCAUAUCAACAUUUCACGAGUACUAGUAUUGCCUUACCAACAAAACACAGCCCUUCACCGAGCUCUCCUACAGUCCAGACUGCUAAUGCUCAUCUGUCUGAAUCAGGUCACAAAGGAAAUUGUUUACCGACAGUUCCUAGCUCUCUUUUGUGUAGCUCCAUAUCUCAAAUUAACUACUCAUCUGCUAAAUCAAGCUAUCUGUCUUGCUCCUGCACCGAGAGCCAGAAAAAUCCAUCAAUGUCAGAGGAUUGCUGUGCAUCUUUACAACCAAACAAAUCUAUAGCAUCCUUAAUGCAACAAUAUCCCAUGAUAUGUCAGAAAAAUAUUCAACGGCACUAA